CGGGGUGUAGCGCAGUCCGGCUAGCGCACCUGCUUUGGGAGCAGGGGGUCCCGGGUUCGAAUCCCGGCACCCCGACCA
rnacentral:tRNA from 1 species